CACAGGGUUACUCCAGCAGAGGCUAGGGAAGCGAUGCUUUCUUUAGAAGUAUGGAUAGGAGUGAUAUAUAGAGAGGUAGACAUUUGCUGCAUGACACCCCCACGUUAUUAAAUGCGUCACCAAGGUCACAGGAACACAUGUGAUGGCUUAAUUUUCCAUACUUGUCUUCUGCAGCAGACUUUGAAGUCAGCUACAAACCCCCCUCCCCAUGGCUCACUCUCACACAUCGAUGAACUUCAGAGAGAAGCAAUUGAUCACCAUACAGCUCAACAUGAGUGCGUCUACGUGGAGUUGUCACAAAAACAAAGCCAUCGCACGAAGAGGACAUGAAUCACAAGACUUAGUUGUUCUGUGCUGGAUGCAACUGAUUUGCUCAUAUCGUGUCAUAAGCUUGCUGAAGUCUCUGCUGAAGAAAGAAGAAAGAAAUAGUCCUGCAUUUAAUUGAAUUAUUUCUUUAAACUUAGUUGACCAGACAUUGUAAAUUUAAAUAUGACUUACUUUGUUUAAUUUAUAUAUGCAGGCAGA